CAGUGCUAUAAAAGAGUACAUGGAAUGAUGGAAUAGGACUUUGGUUCCAUUUUCCGUUGGUUUCUGGAACCGAAGUAAUGAUUAAUAGGGUUGGGGGCAUUCGUAUUUCGUUGUCAGAGGUGAAAUUUUGAAUUUAUUGAAAGACGAACUAAUGCGAAAGCAUUUGCCAAGAAUGUUUCAUUAAUCAAGAACGAAAGUUAGAGGAUCGAAGACGAUCAGAUACCGUCCUAGUUCUAACCAUAAACGAUGCCGACUAGGGAUCAGCGAGUGUUAUUU